rnacentral:rRNA from 1 species
UACGUAGGGUGCAAGCGUUGUCCGGAAUUAUUGGGUGUAAAGGGCUCGUAGGCGGUCCAUCGCGUCGGGAGUGAAAAGCUGGGGCUCAACCCCAGUCCUGCUUCCGAUACGGGUGGACUAGAGGUAUGCAGGGGAGAACGGAAUUCCAGGUGUAGCGGUGAAAUGCGUAGAUAUCUGGAGGAACACCGGUGGCGAAGGCGGCAUCCUGGACCAAUAUUGACGCUGAGGAGCGAAAGCCAGGGGAGCAAACGGG